rnacentral:rRNA from 1 species
GACGAACGCUGGCGGCGUGCUUAACACAUGCAAGUCGAACGAAGCUGCUAAAAGGAAGUCUUCGGACAGAAUUUUAGUAGACUUAGUGGCGGACGGGUGAGUAACGCGUGGAUAACCUGCCUUAUACAGGGGGAUAACGGAGAGAAAUUUCCGCUAAGACCGCAUAAGACCACAGCACCGCAUGGUGCAGGGGUAAAAUAUUUAUAGGUAUAAGGUGGAUCCGCGUCCGAUUAGCUAGUUGGUGAGGUAGAGGCUCACCAAGGCGACGAUCGGUAGCCGGCCUGAGAGGGUGAACGGCCACAUUGGGACUGAGACACGGCCCAAACUCCUACGGGAGGCAGCAGUGGGGAAUAUUGGACAAUGGGGGAAACCCUGAUCCAGCGACGCCGCGUGAGUGAAGAAGUAUUUCGGUAUGUAAAGCUCUAUCAGCAGGGAAGAAAAUGACGGUACCUGACUAAGAAGCCCCGGCUAACUACGUGCCAGCAGCCGCGGUAAUACGUAGGGGGCAAGCGUUAUCCGGAUUUACUGGGUGUAAAGGGAGCGCAGACGGCGAAGCAAGUCUGAAGUGAAAUGCAUGGGCUCAACCCAUGAAUUGCUUUGGAAACUGUUCGGCUUGAGUGUCGGAGGGGUAAGCGGAAUUCCUAGUGUAGCGGUGAAAUGCGUAGAUAUUAGGAGGAACACCGGAGGCGAAGGCGGCUUACUGGACGACAACUGACGUUGAGGCUCGAAGGCGUGGGGAGCAAACAGG